rnacentral:lncRNA from 1 species
CUAUAUCAUUUUCAUGAGCAGCUUCCAACAUAGACAUUCCAACUGGAACUUUAAUGUGCUUUUCCUCUCCAUCCUUAUCCACAAAUGUUACAGAUAUCCUGAAAACAUUGUCAAAGACGUUCAGAACCAAAAAGUACGAUUGGACAAAUGCCAUGGCAUGUUUAACCAAGGAUGAUGAUGAAUUCUAGAAUCCAAUUGAAGACAGGUGCAGAUGAUUUUAUGAAUUUCAUAUAAUAUGAGUGUCACCAUGAGCAUCACAUCCCUUCAGUGCUUACCAUAUCAAAUUUCAAUAAAAAAUUUCAUCCUAUAAAUAUUAGGAAUCCAAUUAUUUAAGACAAGGAUAGUGAUCAGUUAUUGAUAAGCAAACUAAGCAUCCACAAAAGAAGAUGAUGCAGAACUGUUUGUACAGUUUAUCUGGUGAGCAUAGAAGGUCCUUGGUGGAUGAUUGAUCUUAUUCAAGUUUGGAGAGAUGCAAUUGGCCAAACAAACAAGCAACAUUCAGUAUACUGUCUCAAUGGGAGAGGAUUGGUAAGUCCAGGAGAAACUCCCAAAAUUACUGCUACUCAAGAAAACACUUAAUUAUGUCAAAGUUUAUGUUAUUUCAGAGGACGUCAGUCUGAACCUUCCUUCCAAACAAGGUAGUAUAAGUAUGAAAUUAUGCAUUCUUCAUGACUGCAAAAUUCUGGAGAUUUAAUACCUA